AUUGAACGCUGGCGGCAGGCCUAACACAUGCAAGUCGAACGAGUGGCGGACGGGUGAGGAAUACAUCGGAAACUACUCGGUCGUGGGGGAUAACGUAGGGAAACUGACGCUAAUACCGCAUACGAUCGAAUGAGCCGAUUUCGGAUUAGCUAGUUGGGGGGGUAAAGGCUCACCAAGGCGACGAUCCUUAGCUGGUCUGAGAGGAUGAUCGGCCACACUGGAACUGAGACACGGUCCAGACUCCUACGGGAGGCAGCAGUGGGGAAUAUUGGACAAUGGGCGCAAGCCUGAUCCAGCCAUGCCGCGUGGAUGAAGAAGGCCUUCGGGUUGUAAAGCCCUUUGGGUGGGAAAGCGUUACCCAAAGAAUAAGCACCGGCUAACUUCGUGCCAGCAGCCGCGGUAAUUC
rnacentral:rRNA from 1 species